rnacentral:rRNA from 1 species
GCCGGGGUAAUACGUAUGUCCAAGCGUUAUUCCGGAUUUAUUGGGCGUAAAGCGAGCGCAGACGGUUAUUUAAGUUUGAAGUGAAAGCCCUCAGCUCAACUGAGGAAUUGCUUUGGAAACUGGAUGACUUGAGUGCAGUAGAGGAAAGUGGAACUCCAUGUGUAGCGGUGAAAUGCGUAGAUAUAUGGAAGAACACCAGUGGCGAAGGCGGCUUUCUGGACUGUAACUGACGUUGAGGCUCGAAAGUGUGGGUAGCAAACAGGAUUAGAUACCCUGGUAGUCCACACCGUAAACGAUGAGUGCUAGGUGUUUGAGGGUUUCCGCCCUUAAGUGCCGCAGCUAACGCAUUAAGCACUCCGCCUGGGGAGUACGACCGCAAGGUUGAAACUCAAAGGAAUUGACGGGGACCCGCACAAGCGGUGGAGCAUGUGGUUAAUUCGAAGCAACGCGAAGAACCUUACCAGGUCUUGACAUCCCUUGACAACUCCAGAGAUGGAGGUUCCCUUCGGGGACAAGGUGACAGGUGGUGCAUGGUUGUCGUCAGCUCGUGUCGUGAGAUGUUGGGUUAAGUCCCGCAACGAGCGCAACCCUUAUUACUAGUUGCCAGCAUUCAGUUGGGCACUCUAGUGAGACUGCCGGUGACAAACCGGAGGAAGGUGGGGAUGACGUCAAAUCAUCAUGCCCCUUAUGACCUGGGCUACACACGUGCUACAAUGGCGUAUACAACGAGUUGCCAACCCGCGAGGGUGAGCUAAUCUCUUAAAGUACGUCUCAGUUCGGAUUGUAGGCUGCAACUCGCCUACAUGAAGUCGGAAUCGCUAGUAAUCGCGGAUCAGCACGCCGCGGUGAAUACGUUCCCGGGUCUUGUACACACCGCCCGUCACACCAUGAGAGUUUGUAACACCCAAAGCCGGUGGGGUAACCUUCGGGAGCCAGCCGUCUAAGGUGGGACAGAUGAUUAGGGUGAAGUC